CUACGCCUAGUGUCAAGUGAUACUCCACACUACUACGCCCUAGGUCGUGAUCCUCCCACUACGCCCUAGGUCAGUGUUACUCCACCACUACUCCCUAGGUCAGUGAUACUCCACCCCCAAUACUCCCUAGGUCAGUGAUACUCCACCAUCUACUCCCUAGGUCAUUGCUACUCCACCACUACGCCCUAGGUCAGUGAUACUCCACCAAUACUAGCCCUAGGUCAGUGAUACCCCACCACUACGACCCUAGGUCCGUGCUCUCACACAGUCAGUGUACUCCACCCUACUACACCCCUAGGUCAGUGUCUACUCCACCACUACUACGCCCUAGGUCAGUGAUACUCCACCACUACUCCCUAGGUCAGUGAUACUCCACCACUACUCCCUAGGUCAGUGAUACUCCACCACUACUCCCUAGGUCGGGGUUUAGUUGUUUUGAAGUAGUUUAAACAACUAAAAGCAGAUUCUAGGUAUGUAGAAAUGACUACAGUGCCUUCCGAAAGUGUUCACGCCCCUCGACUUCUCCCAUUUUGUUGUUACAGCCCGAAUUAAAACACACACAAUAACCCAUAAUGACAAAGUGAAAACAUGUGUUGAACAUUUGAACAAAUUAACUCUUAGAAAUAUCUAAUUUGCAUAAGUAUUCAAACCCCUGAGUCAUACUUUGUAGAAGCAACUUUGGCAGUGAUUACAGCUGUGAGUCUUUCUGGGUAAAAUCUCAAGAGCUUCGCACACCUGGAUUGUACAAUAUUUGCACUUAUUCUUUAAAAAAAUAUCUAUUUUUUUAAACUGUCAAAUUGACUGGCCAUUGAUCGACAGCCAUUUAAGCCU
rnacentral:lncRNA from 1 species